rnacentral:sRNA from 18 species
GUGAACGAAGUCACAAAAACCUUAUACCCCUUUGUUUGACCGUGAAAAAUUUCUCCCAUCCCCUUUGUUGUCUUGGCAACAAGGAAAAGCCCGGCAUUCAGCCGGGCUUUUCCU